rnacentral:rRNA from 1 species
GUACAAAUUCAACAAAACCUAUUUAUACUGGCGGCAAUUCAUCUAAUUAAAGGAACUUGUUUAAUAAUCGAUACUCCACGUUAAAUUUCACUUAAGUUAAUAAUUUAUAUACCGCCAUCUAAAGAAUUAAUUAAUAUAAAUUACUCUAAAUACUUAUAUUUAUAAAAAGUUAGGUCAAGGUGUAAUUUACACUUAAGAAAUUAAUGAGUUACAAUAAACUAUAUUUAAAGACUAUUAUAUUAAAAAAUAAUAUGAAAGGGAAUUUAAAUGUAAUAUUUUAAUAAAAAUUAAAUAUGAAUAAGAUAAAAAUGUGCACACAUCGCCCGUC